rnacentral:rRNA from 1 species
GAUGAACGCUGGCGGCGUGCUUAACACAUGCAAGUCGAACGGAAAGGCUCCUGCUUGCAGGGGUACUCGAGUGGCGAACGGGUGAGUAACACGUGGGUGAUCUGCCCUGCACUUCGGGAUAAGCCUGGGAAACUGGGUCUAAUACCGGAUAGGACGAUGGUUUGGAUGCCAUUGUGGAAAGUUUUUCGGUGUGGGAUGAGCUCGCGGCCUAUCAGCUUGUUGGUGGGGUAAUGGCCUACCAAGGCGUCGACGGGUAGCCGGCCUGAGAGGGUGUACGGCCACAAUGGGACGGAGAUACGGCCCAGACGCCUACGGGAGGCAGCAGUGGGGAAUAUUGCACAAUGGGCGCAAGCCUGAUGCAGCGACGCCGCGUGGGGGAUGACGGCCUUCGGGUUGUAAACUCCUUUCGCUAGGGACGAAGCGGAAGUGACGGUACCUGGAGAAGAAGCACCGGCUAACUACGUG